AAAUCACACAGAGUAAUGAAA
ensembl:piRNA 21ur-596 ncRNA